GACGAACGCUGUCCCCGCGCCUAAUGCAUGCCGUAAAUAGCUGAACAGACGACCUUGCUCUUCUUGGAUGAGUUCCAAACGGGUGAGUAACGCGUAUGUAACCUGACUGGUAUCGCGGGAUAACUAUGGGACUCGAUAUCUCAUACCUCGUGACAUUGCUGAUCCCAUGAUAAUUAGGUGAAAGAUGCAAUUGCAUCCCCACCAUAUGCACCUGCGUUGUAAUAGCUAGUUGGUGAGGUAACGCCUCAUGAAGGCGACGAUACAUAACCGACCUGAGCGGUUGAUGGGCCACUCUGGCACUGAUACACGGACCAGACUCCUACGGGAGGCAGCACGAUGUAAUCUUCCGCGAUGGGGGGAACCCUGUCUCUCUAACGCCGCGAGAGUGAAGACAGUUCUCGGAUCGCUUCGCUCUGUUGCAAGAAAAUAACGGGCGUGAUAGUGGGAAGGUCACGCCGUCACUUCAUCUUAUUAAAAAGGGACCGCUAACUACGUGCCAGCAGCCGCGGUAAUACGUAGGUCCCGAGCGUUGUCCGGAUUUAUUGGGCGUAAAGCGAGCGCAGGCGGUUAGAUAAGUCUGAAGUUAAGGCUGUGGCUUAACCAUAGUAUGCUUUGGAAACUGUUUAACUUGAGUGCAGAAGGGGAGAGUGGAAUUCCAUGUGUAGCGGUGAAAUGCGUAGAUAUAUGGAGGAACACCGGUGGCGAAAGCGGCUCUCUGGUCUGUAACUGACGCUGAGGCUCGAAAGCGUGGGGAGCAAACAGGAUUAGAUACCCUGGUAGUCCACGCCGUAAACGAUGAGUGCUAGGUGUUAGGCCCUUUCCGGGGCUUAGUGCCGCAGCUAACGCAUUAAGCACUCCGCCUGGGGAGUACGACCGCAAGGUUGAAACUCAAAGGAAUUGACGGGGGCCCGCACAAGCGGUGGAGCAUGUGGUUUAAUUCGAAGCAACGCGAAGAACCUUACCAGGUCUUGACAUCCCUCUGACCGCUCUAGAGAUAGAGUUUUCCUUCGGGACAGAGGUGACAGGUGGUGCAUGGUUGUCGUCAGCUCGUGUCGUGAGAUGUUGGGUUAAGUCCCGCAACGAGCGCAACCCCUAUUGUUAGUUGCCAUCAUUGAGUUGGGCACUCUAGCGAGACUGCCGGUAAUAAACCGGAGGAAGGUGGGGAUGACGUCAAAUCAUCAUGCCCCUUAUGACCUGGGCUACACACGUGCUACAAUGGCUGGUACAACGAGUCGCAAGCCGGUGACGGCAAGCUAAUCUCUGAAAGCCAGUCUCAGUUCGGAUUGUAGGCUGCAACUCGCCUACAUGAAGUCGGAAUCGCUAGUAAUCGCGGAUCAGCACGCCGCGGUGAAUACGUUCCCGGGCCU
rnacentral:rRNA from 1 species